rnacentral:rRNA from 1 species
CCUACGGGUGGCAGCAGUGAGGAAUAUUGGUCAAUGGACGAGAGUCUGAACCAGCCAAGUAGCGUGAAGGAUGACUGCCCUAUGGGUUGUAAACUUCUUUUAUAUGGGAAUAAAAUGUUCCACGUGUGGGCUUUUGUAUGUACCAUAUGACUAAGGAUCGGCUAACUCCGUGCCAGCAGCCGCGGUAAUUCGGAGGAUCCGAGCGUUAUCCGGAUUUAUUGGGUUUAAAGGGAGCGUAGGUGGAUUGUUAAGUCAGUUGUGAAAGUUUGGGGCUCAACCGUAAAAUUGCAGUUGAAACUGGCAGUCUUGAGUACAGUAGAGGUGGGCGGAAUGCGUGGUGUAGCGGUGAAAUGCUUAGAUAUCACGAAGAACUCCGAUUGCGAAGGCAGCUCACUGGACUGCAACUGACACUGAGGCUCGAAAGUGUGGGUAUCAAACAGGAUUAGAUACCCCAGUAGUC